UCGAGAAUCUUCGGCAAUGGGCGCAAGCCUGACCGAGCGACGCCGCGUGCGGGAUGACGGCCUUCGGGUUGUAAACCGCUGUCGGAGGGGAUGAAAUGCUAGGUGGUUCUCCAUCUAGUUUGACAGAUCCUCGGAGGAAGUACGGGCUAAGUUCGUGCCAGCAGCCGCGGUAAGACGAACCGUACAAACGUUAUUCGGAAUCACUGGGCUUAAAGGGUGCGUAGGCGGCAUUGCAAGUUGGGUGUGAAAUCCCACGGCUCAACCGUGGAAUUGCGCUCAAAACUGCACUGCUUGAGGGAGACAGAGGCGAGCGGAACUUAGGGUGGAGCGGUGAAAUGCGUUGAUAUCCUAAGGAACACCAGUAGCGAAAGCGGCUCGCUGGGUCUCUUCUGACGCUGAGGCACGAAAGCUAGGGGAGCGAACGGGAUUAGAUACCCCCGUAGUCC
rnacentral:rRNA from 1 species